GGAUCCCAGACGAGCUUCUACCAUGGGGCAGGAUCCACCAGCCAGGUCAUUGCUCUGAGCUUCCACGACAACCGAUCUUUGAUCGAGCUCCUACAAUAAGCGGCCUCCUUUCGGCCUCCUGCAAGAAUCAAACUCCAUCCGAACUUCCACAGUGGAUGGAUUCCGGAUGAGCUCCUGCAAAAAUCGAACUCCGUCCAAACUUCCACAGCGGAUGGAUUUCGGACGAGCUUCUGUA
rnacentral:lncRNA from 1 species